AGAGUUUGAUCCUGGCUCAGGACGAACGCUGGCGGCGUGCUUAACACAUGCAAGUCGAACGGAAAGGCCCUUCGGGGUACUCGAGUGGCGAACGGGUGAGUAACACGUGGGUGAUCUGCCCUGCACUUUGGGAUAAGCCUGGGAAACUGGGUCUAAUACCGAAUAUGACCACGCUCUUCAUGGGGUGUGGUGGAAAGCUUUUGCGGUGUGGGAUGGGCCCGCGGCCUAUCAGCUUGUUGGUGGGGUAAUGGCCUACCAAGGCGACGACGGGUAGCCGGCCUGAGAGGGUGACCGGCCACACUGGGACUGAGAUACGGCCCAGACUCCUACGGGAGGCAGCAGUGGGGAAUAUUGCACAAUGGGCGCAAGCCUGAUGCAGCGACGCCGCGUGAGGGAUGACGGCCUUCGGGUUGUAAACCUCUUUCACCAGGGACGAAGCGCAAGUGACGGUACCUGGAGAAGAAGCACCGGCCAACUACGUGCCAGCAGCCGCGGUAAUACGUAGGGUGCGAGCGUUGUCCGGAAUUACUGGGCGUAAAGAGCUCGUAGGUGGUUUGUCGCGUUGUUCGUGAAAACUCACAGCUUAACUGUGGGCGUGCGGGCGAUACGGGCAGACUAGAGUACUGCAGGGGAGACUGGAAUUCCUGGUGUAGCGGUGGAAUGCGCAGAUAUCAGGAGGAACACCGGUGGCGAAGGCGGGUCUCUGGGCAGUAACUGACGCUGAGGAGCGAAAGCGUGGGAGCGAACAGGAUUAGAUACCCUGGUAGUCCAA
rnacentral:rRNA from 1 species